GACGAACCGAGCGAACGUUGUUCGGAAUCACUGGGCUUAAAGGGCGCGUAGGCGGGUACUCAAGUCUGUGGUGAAAUCCUCCGGCUCAACCGGAGAACUGCCAUGGAUACUGGGUGUCUCGAGGGUGGUAGGGGUAUGCGGAACUAUCGGUGGAGCGGUGAAAUGCGUUGAUAUCGAUAGGAACUCCGGUGGCGAAGGCGGCAUACUGGACCACUUCUGACGCUGAGGCGCGAAAGCCAGGGGAGCAAACAGG
rnacentral:rRNA from 1 species